CGUCGGCGGCGCCGCCGCUGGACGACCACGACCUGCUCGCCGAGAUCCUCCUCCGCCUCCCCCCGCAGCCCUCCUCCCUCCCCCGCGUCUCCGCCGUCUGCAAAUUGUGGCGCAGCCUCGCCUCCGACCCCGGCUUCUCCCGCCGCUUCCGCGCGCACCACCGCCGAAACCCUCCCCUCCUUGUCUGCCUCGUCGAUGAUUUUUGCCAGGUUCGCUUCCAGCCUAUCCUGGAGCGCCCCAAUCGCGUCCCGCAAUCCAGCUUCCCCGUCCCAAUCGCCGCCAGCGGCCGCUUCCGGAUCCUCGGAUGCCGCCAUGGCCUCGUACUCAUCUUGCACGACUCACAGAAGCAGCUCCUGGUGUGGGACCCCGUCACCGGUGACCAGCACCGCCUGGACAUUCCCCGGGGGUUCGCCAAGCAAACCUGGAUCAACGCGGCGGUGCGUCGUGCUCCGGGAGAUUUACACCAUUUCCAGGUGGUCUUGGUAGGCAACAGCGACGUGCAAAGUACACAAGCAGUAGCCUCUGUUUACUCGUCAGCAACUUGAGUUUGGGACAAGCUCGUCUCAACGCCCCUUCCGUCCGAGAAUUCUGGUGUUCCCACCGUGGUUUACCCGGGAAUGCCUGCUGUGAUGGUUGGGGGUUCGUUUUAUUGGUUGCUUUAUGGGAAUUCACAAGGAAUCCUUGAAUUUGAUUUGGAUAAGCGGAGACUAGCUUUGAUACCCAUGCCAAUGGGAAACACUGGAGACAUGAGAGAUGGCAAUAUUUGGGUUAUGCCGGCAGAGGGUGGUGGCCUUGGUUUCGUCUUUCUGAGAGGCUUCCGUGCGCAAUUAUGGAAGAGGAGGACCAGUUGCAAGGGUGUUGCUUCAUGGUUACUCGGAAGAACUGUUGAAUUGGAUAAGCUACUUUCCCUGAAUUCAGAGAAGCAGAUAGAGCGCCCAAGGAUACUCGGGUUUGCUGAGGUCAAUAAUGUGGUUUUACUGGGGACACUUAGAGGCAUCUUCAUGGUCCAGUUUGAACUAUUGCAUUUCAAGAAAGUUAUUAAAUCCAACCCCUGGUAUAGCCAUUAUCCAUUUGAAGGUGUCUAUACUGCAGAUGGGGGCAUUGGUGGUGGACCAUAUGGAGCUAGAGUAUUGCACAAUAUGUAAGCUGAUUUCUCCUGAUAGACAUGCUAUCGUGAUGUAAUGAUUGAGCAGGUGUCUAGAAUUGUAUUCUGGUUGCUGAGAUUGAGGAAUGGGCUUUGCGAGGAGAUGGACCCUCUAUGUAGCACGCACCGG